AAAGGGGUUCGAGUUGAAUGUUAAGCCUCCAUUCAGCAACGAGCAGCUCAUCAGGGCAUCACCUCAGCACUGCUGUCACCAUGGUAACCGUGUCAGUCCUGCUUCUCCUGCUCUCUGCUUUUACUCCUCCAGUCCAGAGUCAACUCACUUCACUCCAUAUCAUUCCGGGUGACAUGAUUCAGACUGAGGCUCGGAAAGCUUGCAGAGAAAAUUACACCGACCUCAUCACUGUGUACUCUGAUGAAGACAACA